CCUACGGGGGACAGCAGUGGGGAAUAUUGCGCAAUGGGCGAAAGCCUGACGCAGCGACGCCGCGUGAGGGAUGAAGGUCUUCGGAUCGUAAACCUCUGUCAGCAGGGAAGAACGGUCACUGUGCUAAUCAGCAGUGAAUUGACGGUACCUGCAAAGGAAGCACCGGCUAACUCCGUGCCAGCAGCCGCGGUAAUACGGAGGGUGCGAGCGUUAAUCGGAAUUACUGGGCGUAAAGCGCUCGUAGGCGGUAUGUCAAGUCAAGGGGGAAAUCCCCGCGCUCAACGUGGGAACUGCCUUUGAAACUGGCAAACUGGAGUGUGUGAGAGGAUAGUGGAAUUCCAGGUGUAGGAGUGAAAUCCGUAGAUAUCUGGAGGAACAUCAGUGGCGAAGGCGACUAUCUGGCACAUAACUGACGCUGAGGAGCGAAAGCGUGGGUAGCAAACAGGAUUAGAUACCCGGGUAGUC
rnacentral:rRNA from 1 species